rnacentral:rRNA from 1 species
CCUACGGGAGGCAGCAGUGAGGAAUAUUGGUCAAUGGACGAGAGUCUGAACCAGCCAAGUCGCGUGAAGGAUGACUGCCCUAUGGGUUGUAAACUUCUUUUAUAUGGGAAUAAAAUGUUCCACGUGUGGGAUUUUGUCUGUACCAUUUGAAUAAGGAUCGGCGAACUCCGUGCCAGCAGCCGCGGUAAUACGGAGGAUCCGAGCGUUAUCCGGAUUUAUUGGGGUGCAAGGGACCGUAGGUGGAUUGUUAAGUCAGUUGUGAAAGUUUGCGGCGCAACCGUAAAAUUGCAGUUGAAACUGGCAGUCUUGAGUACAGUAGAGGUGGGCGGAAUUCGUGGUGUAGCGGUGAAAUGCUUAGAUAGCACGAAGAACUCCGAUUGCGAAGGCAGCCUACUAAACUGCCACUGACAUUGAUGCUCGAAAGUGUGGGUAUCAAACAGGAUUAGAUACCCGUGUAGUC